rnacentral:rRNA from 1 species
UGAUGUGAAAAGCCCCCGGCUCAACCGGGGAGGGUCAUUGGAAACUGGGGAACUUGAGUGCAGAAGAGGAGAGUGGAAUUCCACGUGUAGCGGUGAAAUGCGUAGAGAUGUGGAGGAACACCAGUGGCGAAGGCGACUCUCUGGUCUGUAACUGACGCUGAGGAGCGAAAGCGUGGGGAGCGAACAGGAUUAGAUACCCUGGUAGUCCACGCCGUAAACGAUGAGUGCUAAGUGUUAGGGGGUUUCCGCCCCUUAGUGCUGCAGCUAACGCAUUAAGCACUCCGCCUGGGGAGUACGGUCGCAAGACUGAAACUCAAAGGAAUUGACGGGGGCCCGCACAAGCGGUGGAGCAUGUGGUUUAAUUCGAAGCAACGCGAAGAACCUUACCAGGUCUUGACAUCCUCUGACAAUCCUAGAGAUAGGACGUCCCCUUCGGGGGCAGAGUGACAGGUGGUGCAUGGUUGUCGUCAGCUCGUGUCGUGAGAUGUUGGGUUAAGUCCCGCAACGAGCGCAACCCUUGAUCUUAGUUGCCAGCAUUCAGUUGGGCACUC